ensembl:snoRNA SNORD15 Small nucleolar RNA SNORD15
CUUCGGUGAUGAUACGAUGACGAGUCGGAACUGGAGCUCAGUCCGGUUCUGGUGGCGAUCGGUUCAGAGUCACGUUCUGUGGUUCUGCUCCGGUGCCUCAGAGCGGCGAGUUCUUUUCGGUUGAAGACAAUCGAGGCAUUUGUCUGAGAAGG